CCAGACUCCUACGGGAGGCAGCAGUGAGGAAUAUUGGUCAAUGGCCGAGAGGCUGAACCAGCCAAGUCGCGUGAGGGAUGAAUGUCCUAUGGAUUGUAAACCUCUUUUGUCUGGGAGUAAAGUCAUCCACGUGUGGGAGUUUGUAUGUACCUUAUGAAAAAGCAUCGGCUAACUCCGUGCCAGCAGCCGCGGUAAUACGGAGGAUGCGAGCGUUAUCCGGAUUUAUUGGGUUUAAAGGGUGCGUAGGCGGGUUAGCAAGGCAGGGGUAGAAAGGUGGAGCCCAACCCCGUCAAGCCGUUGAAAAUGAUGAUCUUGAGUGGGCGAGAAGGAUGCGGAAUGCGUGGUGUAGCGGUGAAA
rnacentral:rRNA from 1 species